rnacentral:lncRNA from 1 species
UGCUAUCUAGUGGAAAAUUUUCUUAAGCAUAACAUCAGGGAAAAGCAUUGAGUAUCAAGGUGGUCCACUACAACCCGAGGAGGCAAAUCCAUGCUAAGCUAUCAUGUCUCGGAGUUGUAAGUCAAAAGUUAGUAGUGAAGAUGGACCUUGAACAAUUAAGAAUAAUAGACACUCUAUGGAAAAUUUGAGUAUACCCUUGGAAUACCAGUUGUGAAGUUGUCAAUAUCUUUUUCCUAUCUCUCUUUUGGAAUCCGUGCCCCUUCCAAAUCUCGAGGACGAGAUUCAUUUUAAGGGGGUAGAGUUUGUAACACCCAAAAUUUUGAUUUCAAUUAAUAGGAAUUUCAUUUGAUUUAUUUAAGUAUUUUUGUGGGCAUUUGAAUUUAGCAAACAAAUAAUUUUGUGAAGAUUAAAACACAUCAUAAGUUUAGAAACGUGAUUUUGCAUUCAUGCCGGAGCAUAGAUAAUUUUUGUAUUGUUUGUUCUGGUUUUAUCUUAAUUGUUUGCUUCAAAAAAACACUUUUGGAAAAUGUCUUGGAAAAAGAAAUCAGAAAAAGAAAAGAAAAAAAAGUAGAGAAGCCCCCUGGAAACCAGCCCAACUGCGCCCCCCUCUUCCCCCUCUCUUCGGCCAGGCGCGGCCCAGCUUUCCCUCUUUCCUUCCCGGCCCAGCUCCCCUCUCUCGGCCCGUGAACAGCCCAGCGGCCAAGCCGCGCGCUCUCUCCCUCUCAGACUCUGGUGACCGGGCCCCGCCCUUCUCCCACCGACAGCACGACCCCACCCGUCAGCCGACUCCUUCUCCUCCUUCCUUUCUUCCCCACCGUAACCGAACAGGAGACCACCGAACGAGGAACGACAGAGAAAUUCCGGUUUCCUCGGGAUCCCUUGCCAAUCCGCGUGUCAUGCCUCUAUAAAGCUCUCGAACAACUUCGUAGACCCCCUUUUGUCAUCUAUUGCACCCCGGGAAGCCCUAGCCGCCUCAAGCAUUGAGUUUUGGAUCCCACCGUGGCCGCGCCCUA